UUUUGCAACCCAGUCUCAUGUAAAAACGUACCCUGACUACGUUGGUCCAAUUUGCAAAACGUAGAGGAGUUACAAUAAUGGCCCUAGAAUUGUAUGACUGUUACAUUUUUUUUCGCCUAUUCUUUUAAUGGCCCUUGAAUUGUAUGACUCUUACGUUUUUUUUUCGUCCAAGUCACGUGACUUUCAAGCUACCGGCCGUGAGAACAAAAAACAUGGCGGACAUUCUCUCAUUUUUAGUGGAAAAAUCUAUAUUUUGAGUUAGUUUCUGAAUAAAAAGAAGUUUUGAUUACAUUUCUAGCGAGAAAUAUAUAUUUUAUUUUCAUAAUAUUCACUCAGUGAAUUUACAUAAUCAUCGCUUGCUCGAUUUUACGCAGAUUUUUCAGAUCUCGCCAGAAUAAUGUGAAACUGAUACGUUUUGGUUGCUAUGGACACUGCCAGGGCUCGUCACAUGACGUCUUUUAAAGACUUUAUUAAAACCGCGUUCAGCUACAGGUAAAACAACAUUCAGAGGUGAUUUUAACAACGCUCCACGGCGCGUGAGAGUAAGCAUUUUAAGCGUUUUCUGAUCAUGUAGGUGUGCCACUGUGGGUGGCUCCCGCACACCCCCGUGGCUACGCCCCUGCCGUGACCCAAAUCUCGUUCUCACAUCAUCGCGAUGUUUAUCAUCUAUUUACAAACGUAGCCAGUCGCCACAUCUUUAUUAGCCUAUCCCCUGUAUGUCAUCGAUGCGCUACUUCAAAGAUGUGAGGAAAAGAACAUACACCUGCGAGUAGUCUUAGACAUUGCCUGUGUUAUUGCCUCACAUUUGCAGAAAUCAGGGGAGGGCAUAUCACACAACAUUGCCUUGGCCGUACCAGCAUUUCAUGUUUAUGGACACAAAUUGCCCUGCCAGAUCAAGUACAGUACCAGAUGGCUUGAUGGGUUUGGGCUCACAGACGGGGAAGGAAUGGAAAGGCUGUGGUCUUUCCUCCAAAGAUUUGCCAGAGUCCAUCUCAUCGCCUUGACCUACUGACUGAUGCCCUUUUGCAUUAUGGACGGAGGAAAUCAACUGACCUAGGUGUGUCUACUGCUGUAUAACCUUUCAAAAUUCUGUGCUGGUGGUUCAGUGUUUAUACAUUUUAUAUUUUCUGGAGUGAAGCCGAUCACACACAAAAUGGUAAGCAUACUAUUAGUAGAUUAAACUGUCUUUUCAUAGGUGCAGCUACUGCAAAGAGUAGACAAAGCAGAGAAAAUAUUGAUUCUUGCUCAGGAAGAUAUCUCAUCUAUCAUCAGAGAGGCACCAGGUAAACAAUGCACAUAAGAAGCAGUGUUGAUUUCUGAAGGAGACAUGGAGAGAUGGAAAAAAGCUAGCCCAACAGAAACCAAUAAGUAAGGAACUGAAGUUAAAGUCUUAAAUACUACACUGUCUGUAGAUGGAAAAGGGACUACAUCAUCAGACUGAUUCAGUUCUACAAGUUCAAAAUUGAGGACUCUGCUGAACAUUGAGGAAAAAAUACCGUAUCGGGAGAAGAUGGCAAGAGUCUGAUUCAAACUUCCAGUCUACCCUUAAAGAUGUGGACCGUGAGCUCAGAGUCCAAAUGCAAGGCUAGAACUGAAUCAAGGGAGAGAGCAGUCGUCCUCCACCAGAGAAGAAUAUAUCCAGCUUUGCUUCAGAUGGGCAGGGCAUUGCCAUUAGACUCUCCAAGCAGGUAGCCAAUUGAUUUUCAGGAAUCAUGUGAUCCCUCUUGGCAUGUCUACUUCUGCUUUAAUGACACUAUUGAAGAAGAUGAUGUUUCGAGGAGUCUAAAAAGGCGAGGGAUUGAUGCCUUACAUAUGAAGACUCGGGCAGCUGAGAAAAAGUGCAUGCUUUACCAGGAAAUUAGAAGUCUAAGGGGCCAGUCACACCAAAAGC